rnacentral:rRNA from 1 species
AUUGAACGCUGGCGGAAUGCUUUACACAUGCAAGUCGAACGGCAGCACGGGGGCAACCCUGGUGGCGAGUGGCGAACGGGUGAGUAAUACAUCGGAACGUGCCCAGUCGUGGGGGAUAACGUAGCGAAAGUUACGCUAAUACCGCAUACGAUCUACGGAUGAAAGCGGGGGACCGUAAGGCCUCGCGCGAUUGGAGCGGCCGAUGUCAGAUUAGGUAGUUGGUGAGGUAAAGGCUCACCAAGCCGACGAUCUGUAGCUGGUCUGAGAGGACGACCAGCCACACUGGGACUGAGACACGUCCCAGACGCCUACGGGAGGCAGCAGUGGGGAAUCUUGGCCAAUGGGCGCAAGCCUGAUCCAGACAUUCCGCGUGCAGGACGAAGGCCUUCGGGUUGUAAACUGCUUUUGUACGGAACGAAAAGGCUCUGGUUAAUACCUGGGGCUCAUGACGGUACCGUAAGAAUAAGCACCGGCUAACUACGUGCCAGCCGCCGCGGUAA